rnacentral:tRNA from 1 species
GAGGGUAUAGCUCAGUGUUAGAGUCCAUGCUUACCAUGCACAAGGUCCUGGGUUCAAUCCCCAGUACUUUCA